rnacentral:rRNA from 1 species
CCUACGGGGUGCAGCAGUGGGGAAUAUUGGGCAAUGGGCGCAAGCCUGACCCAGCAAUGCCGCGUGAAGGAAGAAGGCUUUCGGGUUGUAAACUUCUUUGACAGGGGAAGAGCAGAAGACGGUACCCUGAAAACAAGCCACGGCUAACUACGUGCCAGCAGCCGCGGUAAUACGUAGGUGGCAAGCGUUGUCCGGAUUUACUGGGUGUAAAGGGCGUGUAGCCGGGAAGGCAAGUCAGAUGUGAAAUCUGGAGGCUCAACCUCCAAAUUGCAUUUGAAAAUGUUUUUCUUGAGUACUGGAGAGGCAGACGGAAUUCCUUGUGUAGCGGUGAAAUGCGUAGAUAUAAGGAGGAACACCAGUGGCGAAGGCGGUCUGCUGGACAGCAACUGACGGUGAGGCGCGAAAGCGUGGGGAGCAAACAGGAUUAGAUACCCUAGUAGUC